rnacentral:tRNA from 1 species
GCCGCCGUAACUCAGGGGUAGAGUACUCCCUUGGUAAGGGAGAAGUCGUGAGUUCAAAUCUCACCGGCGGCACCA